GCUUUUAGCCCUUCUUUCUUGGUUGUGACUUUGUAUAUUUGUGCCAGAUAAACUGAUUUAGGCUUUGAUUAUAGCCUUUUUAUCCUCCUAAGGAUUUCUUCAUUUAUGAGUCCUUUUGGAGGGAGCUCGGCCUCUUUCAUUGGCCUUUUAUACUUUCAGCUUUUGAGGAUGUAAGUCUAUCCGUGCUGGGAGCUCGGUCUCUUGCUUUGUAGCUAAACUUUUAUUGUUAGCAUCU
rnacentral:lncRNA from 1 species